AUUGAACGCUGGCGGCAUGCCUUACACAUGCAAGUCGAACGGCAGCACGGGGGCAACCCUGGUGGCGAGUGGCGAACGGGUGAGUAAUGCAUCGGAACGUACCCGGAAGUGGGGGAUAACGUAGCGAAAGUUACGCUAAUACCGCAUAUUCUGUGAGCAGGAAAGAGGGGGAUCGCAAGACCUCUCGCUUUCGGAGCGGCCGAUGUCGGAUUAGCUAGUUGGUGGGGUAAAGGCCUACCAAGGCGACGAUCCGUAGCGGGUCUGAGAGGAUGAUCCGCCACACUGGGACUGAGACACGGCCCAGACUCCUACGGGAGGCAGCAGUGGGGAAUUUUGGGACAAUGGGGGCAACCCUGAUCCAGCCAUGCCGCGUGAGUGAAGAAGGCCUC
rnacentral:rRNA from 1 species